GGGUUGUGUUUAUUAGAUAAAGAACCAAUAUUUUUGGUGACUCAUAAUAACUUUACGGAUCACAUUAUGUGACAUAUCAUUCAAGUUUCUGACCUAUCAGCUUUAGACGGUAGGGUAUUGGCCUACCGUGGCUAUGACGGGUAACGGGGAAUUAGGGUUCGAUUCCGGAGAGGGAGCCUGAGAAACGGCUACCACAUCUAAGGAAGGCAGCAGGCGCGCAAAUUACCCAAUCCUAAUACAGGGAGGUAGUGACAAGAAAUAACAAUACAGGACCUUACGGUUUUGUAAUUGGAAUGAGUUAAGUAUAAACCCCUUAACAAGUAUCAAUUGGAGGGCAAGUCUGGUGCCAGCAGCCGCGGUAAUUCCAGCUCCAAUAGCGUAUAUUAAAGUUGUUGCAGUUAAAAAGCUCGUAGUUAAUUUUCUGUUAAUUUUUAUAUACAAUACUACGGUAUUUAUAUAAUAUUAACAUAAUUCAUAUUACUUUUUAGUAUAUGAAACUUUACUUUGAGAAAAUUAGAGUGCUUAAAGCAGGCUAUUGCCUUGAAUACUCCAGCAUGGAAUAAUAUUAAGGAUUUUUAUUCUUCUUAUUGGUUCUAGAAUAAAAAUAAUGAUUAAUAGGGACAGUUGGGGGCAUUUGUAUUUAACAGUCAGAGGUGAAAUUCUUAGAUUUGUUAAAGACAAACUACUGCGAAAGCAUUUGCCAAGGAUGUUUUCAUUAAUCAAGAACGAAAGUUAGGGGAUCGAAGACGAUCAGAUACCGUCGUAGUCUUAACCAUAAACUAUGCCAACUAGAGAUUGGAGGUUGUUCCUUACUCUUUUA
rnacentral:rRNA from 1 species